UUCCAGAAGGUUCUGUAGCGGCUGGUGCUCCUGUCAAUCACAGUUCUGUUCAUAAGGCUGCCUCUGAGCUGGUGUAUCCAGACAGAGGAUUAUCUGUAUCUCUACAUCUCACACAUGGCCUCCACUAUAAAGAAUUCUAAUAGUUGUUUUAACUAAGCUACUUUGGACAAUUGUCAUUGGAGCUUGCAGAAACCAUCCUGGAAACCUCAGGUCUGCAUGCUAAUGGUCCAAGGAGCAUCCCUCUUUGUCUUCUGAAGCAGGGGCUGGAGCCAGUUGGUUCGUCAGUUAUGAAGCUGGUCUCAGAAGUAGACUUUGAUCGUUAUCUGUCGUGAAAACUACCAUGAGGAACGAGCAACAUUGUAUCAAGGAACGAGCAACAUUGUAUCAAGCCAACAUCUUCACAUCUUGCCGGUUUUCUCCUGAUGACUCAGUCCACACAGCUCCAAUGUGCCUGCAGGGAGAGGUCCUGAGCGUACAGUGGAGAUCUAGGCAGCUGGACCCCAACCUGAGCCCAGCUGUUACCUCCUCCAGUUGUGCAAACACCCCAGCGCCAUACUAAGCCCCGGGCAGGCUCAUGUUCACAGGAGCAAGUACCAACUGCUGCUAUUUCUUUGUGCCACAAAUGGAGACGGAGCUACAGAAUGCGUAGAGGAUUACACAAGGGAGCAGAAGUAUGAAGAACAGCAUGGAAGAGUGAGCAUCACUGGAUUUCCCCAUGAGUUGGCCGGAGUUUGGAAUAUUUCCUACUGGGAUAGGAACUUGGGCAUUUUUGCAUUGGCAUCACCUUGUCCUUAUUUUAAUCUCAAUACUCCACGUGAUGGUUUCUAAUUCUUUGCAAAUAUAUUGUUGAGAGGGUGCUCUUCCAUGAUUUAUCAUCCAGUCUGCACUACACAUGAAACUGCUUUUAAUGUCCUGAAUUCUGGGGACAUUGGGGAUCUUAAGGAGGCCUAACCCGAGGCCAAGUGGCAUGGCUGGUUACAGGGGAUGGGCUAGGCUGAGUUGAGGUGGGAACAAAGGGCCAGGAUGUGGGCCAGAAGCAUCUUACUGCUCGGCUGUCCUUACCCAUGGCUUUGUCUCCUUCCAGAAUAGUUAUUAUCAAUUUUUGUAGGAGCAGAAACAUAA